AAUUCCCUUCCCGGAUCGGCAGCCUCCACCGCCACUCCGCCCAAAUCGAGCACCUCCACAGCCACUCUAUAUUUCCAGCCAAGCCGUCCGCCUUCCGCCGCCCCAAAAUCCAGCCAUCUUCUCCCCUCCUCCUCCGCCGCUGCGGCCGACCCCGAUCGACGGAGAUGCGGAAACACCACCGAGGUCUAGGAUCGGUGGCUGCCCCUGCCCUGCUCCUGCUCCUGCUACUCGCCCUCGUCCUGCCGUCUACUCAGACCCAGUCCCAGAAGCAGAGCGCGCGAGAGACGGCUGCCAUGGCGGCGGAACCCGCGCGGCGGCUGGCGGGAGGCAUCGUGGAGUCGCCGGGGCGAGAGAACGAUCUCCACAUCGUCGGCCUCGCCCGCUUCGCCGUCUCCGAGCACAGCUCCCCCCUUCCCUUGUUGAAUCUGCAUUCCCGUGUUCGACAAAGCAGUAUAGGAAAGUAGUAUUUGCAUUGGUCUAAUCUGAAUUCACUGAUGCAGAAUACUCCGCUGGAGUUGGAGAAAGUGGUGAGGGUCAAGGAGCAAGCUGUUGCUGGCAGGCUCUACUACAUCACAAUCCAGGUCGAUGAAGGCGGGGCAAAGAAGCUGUAUGAAGCCAAGGUGCUGGAGCAGCUGUGGCUGGAUGUCAGGAAGCUCGUGGAGUUCAGGCCGGCAGAGGGCGCCUCUCCCAACGUUUAAGGCCUGUCCCAACUGUGCAACAGUGCAAGGAUCUCCAGAUAUGGUGUGGAUAUAGCUACCGUCCGUGCGACAUGUGUUUAACGUGCUCUCUUGUGUACUAGUAUCAAGAACAAGUCUGCUUCUUGCGAGUUGUUUUGACCUGCCCAUUAUAUUUCUUGCCAUUCAAGUUUCAGAUGGUUCAUAUCCUAUGCAGUUAAUUUAGCUUGGCUUGAUGGCCUCUCUAGUUCGUACUAAGCUCCACUAUGGCUAGUGAUCAGGAAUAGAAUUCUGGCCAAAGCAAAUUCUGGAACACUUGUUCUUCUGCUGUCUAGCUAAUUGUGUCUGGAAUGUUGCUGGUGUUCCUUUUUUUUCGAAAAGAGAGGACAUCCCUCGGCCUCUACAUUGAGUGAUGCACACAAGCUUGCUGGUGUUCCCUUAGGGUUGGGAUCAGCACAAAGCCUUGCUUGCUCCUCUGCUUUGAGCGAUUCCUGAUUUAAGUCUUGUUUAUGGUAGGAUCGGAAGGGGGUUAUGGUCGGGUGCUGCUGCCAUUUUUCGGAAUCUCUGGAAAACAAGAAAUAAAUCUUGUUUCCAAGGAAGUAAGCCUAC
rnacentral:rRNA from 1 species